rnacentral:rRNA from 1 species
UACGGGGGGGGCAAGCGUUGUUCGGAAUUACUGGGCGUAAAGGGCUCGUAGGUGGCCAACUAAGUCAGACGUGAAAUCCCUCAGCUUAACUGGGGAACUGCGUCUGAUACUGGAUGGCUUGAGAUUGGGAGAGGGAUGCGGAAUUCCAGGUGUAGCGGUGAAAUGCGUAGAUAUCUGGAGGAACACCGGUGGCGAAGGCAGCCCCCUGGGUCAAAACUGACGCUCAUGCACGAAAGCGUGGGGAGCAAACAGG